rnacentral:hammerhead_ribozyme from 1 species
AUCCAGCUGACGAAUUCCAAAUAGGACGAAAUGCGCAUCCUGGAU